GACGAACGCUGGCGGCGUGCUUAACACAUGCAAGUCGAACGGAAAGGCCCUGCUUUUGUGGGGUGCUCGAGUGGCGAACGGGUGAGUAACACGUGAGUAACCUGCCCUUGACUUUGGGAUAACUUCAGGAAACUGGGGCUAAUACCGGAUAGGAGCUCCUGCUGCAUGUUGGGGGUUGGAAAGUUUCGGCGGUGGGGGAUGGACUCGCGGUUUAUCAGCUUGUUGGUGGGGUAGUGGCUUACCAAGGCUUUGACGGGUAGCCGGCCUGAGAGGGUGACCGGCCACAUUGGGACUGCGAUACGGCCCAGAAUCCUACGGGAGGCAGCAGUGGGGAAUAUUGCACAAUGGGCGGAAGCCUGAUGCAGCAACGCCGCGUGCGGGAUGACGGCCUUCGGGUUGUAAACCGCUUUCGCCUGUGACGAAGCGUGAGUGACGGUAAUGGGUAAAGAAGCACCGGCUAACUACGUG
rnacentral:rRNA from 1 species